GAGCCGCAGUCACAACAUUAGUGAUUUCUGCAUUGUAACAAAGGAAGUUGCGAUCACAACACAUGAUUCACGAUCUCAGCAAGGCAAGCUCUGCGAGGCAGUAAACCCAAGCUCAAAGAUGCGAUCGUGAACCCGGUUGCUACAAUCGCCACUACUAUGAGGCUGCUGAGAUAUUGAGCUCAGCUUCAUAAAUUGUGAAAACGGCCCCAAGGACCACUUAUCACAGCUUUCUUCCUAGGAUCUCAAAUAUUCAGUGUUAAAAUCAGCCGAUCACUGCACAAGGCCUGCGAUCGUAGCAAAGGUAUUUCAUACCUACAACCAUAAAUUUUAUCAUUUUCUCGACUCCCCCACCGCAAACUCAGUCCAUGAAGAUGAAAUCACUUCCCACUUCUUCUCAAUAUCAAGGUAGCUCGAAUUUAACUUGGUUUAAGCUAUUCCUACUAUAAUACCACUUGAUUUAACUCUCAAAUCAUAGAUUUUUGGUUGGAUUCCCUAUUCUGCCAAAUUUCACCCAGGUAUACUAGGGUUUGAACUAUGGAGGUAGUUUGAGAUAUUUGACUCUACCCAACUAUUUUAUAGACUUUAUAGUUUAUGGGUGGCGUGAUUAUGCUAUGAGAAUGAUGUGAAGGGGUCGGAUGAAUCAAGAUUCACCAUAGAUUACCAUGAAAAUGGUAGCAUGACUAUGGCCAAGUCCCAAAAGAUGGAUUAGCCUUCCAUUUGCAUUGGUUUUACAACAAGUCUAUACAUCCGUAUUAACUAUUAACUCCUAAGGCUCAAAGCCUACAAAACCUAAGACCUCCUUUGAACAAUGGAGCUAGUUACAAGUUUGAACUGAUCUGUAAAUUCGUUUCUGCAUCAACAUUUUACAUUGAUGAAUGGGCGAAUUUGAAACAAAAUGAAAAAAAGGAGAAAAAACUAUCUUCUUAGCUUGUUUGAAGAACUUGAAAUUGCCUGCUGUAGAUAUCUCAGUGUCUUUUGAUGAUUAAGGAAUCCCAUAAACCAGAACUCAAAAUCAUCCUCUGUAACUACUUGUAUAUACUUCUGUGAUCGCUUUUCCAUAUUUUCACUCUCUUUUGCUUUCUUUGUCUUACUUAUUGGGAUCGAUACCUGCAAUUGUUUAUUGGUCUAUUAGAUUAUGCUUUACAUGGCUCGAAUAGAGAUGCAAGGAAACCAGAGCAGAGGGGUACCUUAUAACGGAUUCUAAGCAAUUUUCCAGUUGGAGAUAAGAGCUUUAUUGAUCGCUCACUGCAGAAAGCAAUCUUAUCAGUAGAGAUGAAGAGAAGCCCUGCCAUUGGACCAGCUGUAGUUGAUAAAUAGCAUUGAGAAACCUUCAAUAGCUUUUCAUCAUUUCUAACACUAAACUUCUGCUUGAAUAUUCUCUCCAACCCUCCUACUUGAAGUAUUUUUGCCCCGAGGCUCAAUUUUCCCUUCACAGUUUCUGUUAGCUUCGGGCUAAGGCUCACUGCACAAUUAAAGUUGAAACAUUAACUUCAUUACAAUCAAUACUUUCUAUCGUAUAUACAUGUAAAUAGUGCUUUUUUGCAUGGUUUUGUACAUCAUGACUCACUUAUCUGUGUUCUUUAGAUUUACAUUCUUUCAUUUGGCCAUGCUUCACUUGCAACUACUGAAAUCAUUAUAUGCAAGCUGAAGUUUGAUUACCAGUAUUUCCAAUAUUGAAAAACUUGUUUGAUGAGUAUGUCAAGUGAAAAUUGGUUUUAAGACACUAUACAUCAAUUUUUUCCCCAGGUUCGUUCAUGCCCGAACACAACUGAAUCAAAUACUCUUUUGCAUCUU
rnacentral:lncRNA from 1 species